rnacentral:rRNA from 1 species
GUGAACCUACGGGAGUCAGCAGUAGGGACUCUUCCCCAAUGGUCGAAAGCCUGAUGGAGCAACGCCGCGUGGGUGAAGAAGGUCUUCGGAUCGUAAAACCCUGUUGUUAGAGAAGAAAGUGCGUGAGAGUAACUGUUCACGUUUCGACGGUAUCUAACCAGAAAGCCACGGCUAACUACGUGCCAGCAGCCGCGGUAAUACGUAGGUGGCAAGCGUUAUCCGGAUUUAUUGGGCGUAAAGGGAACGCAGGCGGUCUUUUAAGUCUGAUGUGAAAGCCUUCGGCUUAACCGGAGUAGUGCAUUGGA